AUUGAACGCUGGCGGCAGGCCUAACACAUGCAAGUCGAGCGAGCGGCGGACGGGUGAGUAAUGUAUGGGGACUGCCCGAUAGAGGGGGAUAACUACUGGAAACGGUAGCUAAUACCGCAUACUAUCGGAUAACCCAUAUGGGAUGAGCGAGUGGGUGAGGUAAUGGCUCACCUAGGCGUCGAUCCCGAGCUGGUCUGAGAGGAUGAUCAGCAACACUGGGACUGAGACAAGGCCCAGCAUCAUACGGAGGGAGGAGUGGGGACUAUUGGACAAUGGGCGCAAGCCGGAUGCAGCCAUGCCGCGGGGAUGAAGAAGGCCCUAGGGUUGUAAAGUACUUUUGGCGGAGAAGCGGUAUCUGCAGAAUAAGCACCGGCUAACUACGUGCCAGCAGCCGCGGUAAUUC
rnacentral:rRNA from 1 species